rnacentral:rRNA from 1 species
UACGGGGGGGGCAAGCGUUGUUCGGAAUUACUGGGCGUAAAGGGCUCGUAGGCGGCCAACUAAGUCGGACGUGAAAUCCCCAGGCUCAACCUGGGAACUGCACCCGAUACUGGAUGGCUUGAAUUCGGGAGAGGGAUGCAGAAUUCCAGGUGUAGCGGUGAAAUGCGUAGAUAUCAGGAGGAACACCGGUGGCGAAGGCGGUUCUCUGGCAAUGUUCUGACGCUGAGGAGCGAAAGUGUGGGGAGCGAACAGG